GACGAACGCUGUCGGCGUGCUUAACACAUGCAAGUCGAACGGAAAGGCCCUGCUUUUGUGGGGUGCUCGAGUGGCGAACGGGUGAGUAACACGUGAGUAACCUGCCCUUGACUUUGGGAUAACUUCAGGAAACUGGGGCUAAUACCGGAUAGGAGCUCCUGCUGCAUGGUGGGGGUUGGAAAGUUUCGGCGGUUGGGGAUGGACUCGCGGCUUAUCAGCUUGUUGGUGGGGUAGUGGCUUACCAAGGCUUUGACGGGUAGCCGGCCUGAGAGGGUGACCGGCCACAUUGGGACUGAGAUACGGCCCAGACUCCUACGGGAGGCAGCAGUGGGGAAUAUUGCACAAUGGGCGGAAGCCUGAUGCAGCAACGCCGCGUGCGGGAUGACGGCCUUCGGGUUGUAAACCGCUUUCGCCUGUGACGAAGCGUGAGUGACGGUAAUGGGUAAAGAAGCACCGGCUAACUACGUGCCAGCAGCCGCGGUGAUACGUAGGGUGCGAGCGUUGUCCGGAUUUAUUGGGCGUAAAGGGCUCGUAGGUGGUUGAUCGCGUCGGAAGUGUAAUCUUGGGGCUUAACCCUGAGCGUGCUUUCGAUACGGGUUGACUUGAGGAAGGUAGGGGAGAAUGGAAUUCCUGGUGGAGCGGUGGAAUGCGCAGAUAUCAGGAGGAACACCAGUGGCGAAGGCGGUUCUCUGGGCCUUUCCUGACGCUGAGGAGCGAAAGCGUGGGGAGCGAACAGGCUUAGAUACCCUGGUAGUCCACGCUGUAAACGGUGGGUACUAGGUGUGGGGUCCAUUCCACGGGUUCCGUGCCGUAGCUAACGCUUUAAGUACCCCGCCUGGGGAGUACGGCCGCAAGGCUAAAACUCAAAGGAAUUGACGGGGCCCCGCACAAGCGGCGGAGCAUGCGGAUUAAUUCGAUGCAACGCGUAGAACCUUACCUGGGUUUGACAUGGAUCGGGAGUGCUCAGAGAUGGGUGUGCCUCUUUUGGGGUCGGUUCACAGGUGGUGCAUGGCUGUCGUCAGCUCGUGUCGUGAGAUGUUGGGUUAAGUCCCGCAACGAGCGCAACCCUUGUUCACUGUUGCCAGCACGUUAUGGUGGGGACUCAGUGGAGACCGCCGGGGUCAACUCGGAGGAAGGUGGGGAUGACGUCAAGUCAUCAUGCCCCUUAUGUCCAGGGCUUCACGCAUGCUACAAUGGCUGGUACAGAGAGUGGCGAGCCUGUGAGGGUGAGCGAAUCUCGGAAAGCCGGUCUCAGUUCGGAUUGGGGCCUGCAACUCGACCUCAUGAAGUCGGAGUCGCUAGUAAUCGCAGAUCAGCAACGCUGCGGUGAAUACGUUCCCGGGGCU
rnacentral:rRNA from 1 species